rnacentral:lncRNA from 1 species
CAAACAGUGGGAGAAGAUGUCUCACGCACACUGAAGUUAGACCACUGCAAAACUGAGCCAGACGGCUUUGUUGUGCAGCUUUCUGAUGCCUCCAGGGGACAGCUGCUUAUCGGAGGGAGACUAUUAUGGGGUUGGGGCUGGAGAUGUUCCAUGCAGCAUCCUGCAAGGGGAAGCAGUUACUUUAUGAGAGCGAUGCUUCAACCAGCUAACUGGAUAGCCCUCCCUUUUGCAGCUGGUGUGGGUGAAGAUGUGGAAGCUUGAUUCUCCUUGGAAGCUCUGAUCACCCCAGCCCAGAACCACUAGUCCCCACUUAGUCUUGGAGAGGAGGCAAGGAUGUGUGUCCUCUGCGUGUAGCCUUACGGUCUGCAAAUGCUUAUGAAAACCUAUGAAAGAGAGACUAUUCAUUUUAGUUCCAUUUUAGA